rnacentral:rRNA from 1 species
AGCGAACGCUGGCGGCAGGCCUAACACAUGCAAGUCGAACGAACCUUUCGGGGUUAGUGGCGGACGGGUGAGUAACACGUGGGAACGUGCCUUUAGGUUCGGAAUAGCUCAGGGAAACUUGUGCUAAUACCGAAUGUGCCCUUCGGGGGAAAGAUUAAUCGCCUUUAGAGCGGCCCGCGUCUGAUUAGCUAGUUGGUUGAGGUAAUGGCUCACCAAGGCGACGAUCAGUAGCUGGUCUGAGAGGAUGAUCAGCCACAUUGGGACUGAGACACGGCCCAAACUCCUACGGGAGGCAGCAGUGGGGAAUCUUGCGCAAUGGGCGAAAGCCUGACGCAGCCAUGCCGCGUGAAUGAUGAAGGUCUUAGGAUUGUAAAAUUCUUUCACCGGGGACGAUAAUGACGGUACCCGGAGAAGAAGCCCCGGCUAACUUCGU